AGUGUUUCACUGGUACUUAAUUCAUCGACUCCGAAAGGAUAAAAGACAAAGUCGACCUCGGUGAAGGCAGCGAGCUGGCAGAAACGUUAGCACGCCGGACGAAAUCCGUAGCCGUAUUUCGUCUGCUGGUACGUUUUGAGUUCAAAUUCCGCCGAGGUUGACUUUGCCUUUCAUCCUUUCGGGGUCGAUUAAAUAAGUACCAGUUAGGCACUGGGGUCGAUGUAAUCGACUUAAUCCGUUUGUCUGUCAUUGUUUGUCCCCUCUGUGUUUAGCCCCUUGUGGGUAGUAAAUAAAUAGGUAUUUGAACUCAGAUCGUAAAAUCGGAUGAAAUAUCGCUAAGCAUUUUGCCCGGCAUGGUAACAAUUCUGUCUGCUCACUGCCUUUGGAAGCCUUAAUAGUAGCAACAGUAAUAUCCGCUUUUUGCAUUCCGUUUUUUUUCCCACUUCUCGCCAGACUUGACAAACUUCCAGACAAAUGUCCAUUAUCGUGUUGACCAAAAACUCACACGUAGCACUGAGACACAGUUCAAAAGAAAUUACAAUAUGUAGCUUCUGGUGUUCAUAAGAUGGUAAACCACGACGCACUUCAAUAGGUAGUUCGAUUUCCUCGCUUAGGUCUAUCAGAGGCUGAACUGCAUAGACGUAUCUCGGUUAGAACUCGAGAGGGCCAAUCUGAACAGUUUUGGUUUGAAUCUCGAUCGACCGCAGCAAUAAAUAUCAUUUGGAGAAACAUAAAAUCCUAGGCGCAGGAGUGGCUGUGUGGUAAGUAGCUUGUUUAUCAACCACAUGGUUCCGGGUUCAGUCCCACUGCGUGGCACCUUGGGCAAGUGUCUUCUGCUAUAGCCUCGGGCCGACCAAAGCCUUGUGAGUGGAUUUGGUAGACGGAAACUGAAGGAAGCCCGUCGUAUGUAUGUAUAUAUAUAUAUAUAUAUAUCCGUGUGUGUGUUUAUGAGUCUGUGUUUGUCCCCCUAGCAUUCCUUGACAACCGAUGCUGGUGUGUUUAUGUCCCCGUUACUUAGCGGUUCGGCAAAAGAGAUCGAUAGAAUAAGUACUGGGCUUACAAAAGAAUAAGUCCCGGGGUCGAGUUGCUCGAUUAAAGGCGGUGCUCCAGCAUGGCCACAGUCAAAUGACUGAAACUAAUAAAAAAAAAAAAAAAAGUUAUCGGCAAGUAUUCGUAAAUCAAAGGUAGCUUCGGACACACCGAUGGUAAUUACCUCAUACAUGGCGUACCUUUCUCUGUUUUUUUCUUUUGAAAGGAAUGUCUAUGACUAUUGGCUUCUGCUCUGGUCUUGCUUGGUCAUAUGGUUCUCGCUGUUGUUGUUGUUGUCGUUGUUGCUGCUACUGCCGUAGAUAACUUACAUUGUCUUCGCCAGUUGUGAGUCGGUUCAGUCCCACUGCGUGGCACCUUGGGCAAGUGUCUUAUACUAUAGCGUCGGGCCGACCAAAGCCUUGUGAGUGGAUUUGGUAGACGGAAACUGAAAGAAACCCGUCGUAUAUAUGUGUAUAUAUAUAUAUAUAUAUAUAUAUAUAUAUAUAUAUAUAUAUAUAUAUAUAGGUAAACAGUAAAAAUAAUUACAGACAUGGACAAGAACAUGAAACGCCACAGAGACGACACAAGAACCACAGGACGGGACAUUCGAAGCCCUCAGUCAUCAGUCAAGAACCAGAUCAUCUUAGCAAUUUCGGCUGAUUAAUCUUGAGAUUGCUCCGAUAUGGCCAGCCCGCCACGGAAAUCUAAGCCAAGUGCAUUAGAUCCCCUGGAAGAAAGCUUCGAAUGUAUACAACACGAGGACGGAAAACGAACGAAGUACACGAACAAAAAUACAGAAUACGUGACAACAAUAAGAAUACAAAAACGUAAAAACAAUAACGGUAAAAAUAAAGUAUAAAAAAUAAACAACAAAACAAAACCAGGACGUAGGACAAGGGUCUUUCGACAGGACGAAUUGAGCAUGGGGCUGGCUUAUGAAGUUGUGCCUAAUGUCCACAGGGAGACGAACAAGUACGUGUUGCUUCAACGGCUGCUGGAACGAAAAGAGCGUUCAACAGCGGCUAGCGGUCACGUGAGAACAAAAGACAAGAGAAAGGGACAGAUGAAAAGAGAGAGAAGGUGGACGAGGGAGGAGAAGAAAGAGACAGAUCGAGGGGGCUGGAGGUGAGAGAGAUAGAGAAACGUAGAAGGGGGGGAAACGGAUGGAGAGGGAAAGAAAGGAGGGGGAAUAAGGGAGGAGAGAGAGAGAGAAAGAAAGAUUAAGAGUCGUAUCAAUGCUUGAGAAAAAAAUAUACUUAUCGUAUAAGGACAAUUGUGGAUACGUAGCCGCCGAUUAUAUAGGUAAACAGUAAAAAUAAUUACAGACAUGGACAAGAACAUGAAACGCCACAGAGACGACACAAGAACCACAGGACGGGACAUUCGAAGCCCUCAGUCAUCAGUCAAGAACCAGAUCAUCUUAGCAAUUUCGGCUGAUUAAUCUUGAGAUUGCUCCGAUAUGGCCAGCCCGCCACGGGAAAUCUAAGCAGUUGCUUGGGUUUGUUUCGACCCUUUAGAAUUGGAAUUUUUGAAAAGUAAAAAUUUUGCAUUAUGCAACUUGUUAUUCUCUUCAAGUGAACAUUUUCCCAGUUGAAAUACACCGAAAAAUGGUGACACAGCAGUCAAAAAUCGUAAAAAAUAGGGAUUUUGGUGUUAACAUGGUCCGAUUUGAAUUUUAUCUUCUACAGAAUGAAGAGCAAGCCUUCUUCUAUCAUACUCUCAAUUUUGGUCAACUUGCGCUGCAGGGUCUCGAAAGAGAUAGUGUUAGUUGAAGGCUACCAAACCUGCCACACACAGACAACUUCAGUUUUAUAUAUAUAGAUUUGCUACACACUACUUUCCAUCCUUAAUAAUGAAACUUGGUAGAUCCAAAAGUUAAACACACAGACACACACACAGAUACACACACAGACACACAAGUUGAGUUUUAUAUAUAUAGAUUUCUCAACGGGGAUUUCAGGGGAGAGUUUCAGGGAGUCGCUGGCGAUGUAUCGGAUGAUCAAAAAUCCGGCCUGCUAAAAUUUGGUUAAAGUGAUUCAAACUGCAGACUCAAGGCAAAAUGGUCACAUUUAAUUCUAAGCGUUAAAAGUGUUAUGAAAACAAUUGGUAUGUGUUCACAAAGUCCAAACGAUUAAUACGAAAAAGCCCUCCAGGCUACAUCCCGAAAAUUCAUUUAUUUGCCGAAUUACUACAAUGUUUACGGCGAUUCGUUUUUAUAUCUUGAUUUUUUAUUUUUCAUGCAAUUUACACAUGCUUGCACGAACUGCUGACUGAGUAAAGUUCACUAUUCAAUGCAUGGGAUAAGGCCUAAACAAACACAUUAUCGAUUUUUGCACUUGCGAGAUGAAUUUCGGAACAGAAAUAGCGCAGUUCAAUUUUCAUUCGCCUAAACUUUAAGUGACCCAUUUUUGGUAGUUCUACGAUUUGUUGGCUAGGAGAUGUACCGGGAAGUUAAACACACAGACACACACACAGAUACACACACAGACACACAAGUUGAGUUAUAUAUAUAUAUAUAUAUAUAUAUAUAUAUAUAUAUAUAUGUAUAUAUAUGCGUGUGUUUGUCCUCCAAACAUCGCUUAACAACCGAUGCUGGUGUGUUUACGGCUCCGUAACCUAGCGGUUCGGCAAAAGAGACCGAUAGAAUAAGUACUAGGCUUACAAAGAAUAAGUCCUGGGGUCGAUUUGCUCGAGUAAAGGCGGUGCUCCAGCAUGGCCGCAGUCAAAUGACUGAAACAACUAAAAGAGUAAAGAGUAAUUCAACAGUUAUAUCUGAUGUUGCCGUAUAACCGUCAAUCGCCAUGAUUUAUUGUUGUUGUUAGUGGUGAUAGUGCAAUUGCUGUUGCUGCUACUGCAGUUGUUUUUGAAGGCUUUCUGUGCAAUUUAAACCACCAUUUGCUCUUACUGGUACGUAUUUAGUCACUGAACCCUCUGCCUUUCGAUGCUGAAUUUUAAGGCUUUCCCCUCUGCAUAUAUCCUUUAAACCAAAAUUUACUCUGGCACUGACUGCGUUCCGUUGUGGUGCUACGAAAGUGAACAUUAUUCAAGGGUUGUUGUCUUCACCAAUGUCCUUGACGGUGAGCCAUGUCUCCCUACUUCCUAAAUAUUAUUGAACUAAUCUAUGGGUUAGUGUGUCACGGAUUAAAUUCGAACUGCGCUUAAGCCAAAUCCUGUUUUAAAGCUCACACAUAUGGUGUCACGUGCUCUCCCUCUCCUAAUAAUGAUUUCACUGAAAGUAUCUGCUAGAGCUGUUACCAGGGCUUCUUUAGAUGGAAUGCAAAAAGGCCCCGUGGUCUUAGCAAAAAGAGAAGUAAGUUACUCUUCUCCUCUCGCCCGUCUCUCAAAUAAACUGUGACAGGCUGUAACCUGUCUGGGGCACAAAAUCAUAUCUGGCUUUAGCUCUUUCAGCAAAAUGUACAAUAUCGAAGGAACGUUUGCCAAAGAUAGCGUUUCCUCACUCAUAUUUACAUUUGACAUAUGUUUGUGUAGUGUCUUCUUCUUCUUCUUCUUCUUCUUCUUCUUCUUCUUCUUCUUCUUCUUCUUCUUCUUCUUCUUCUUCUUCUUCUUCUUCUGUUGGCCUGCUCGCUUAGCCAGCGGGGUGGCGUCAUUUGAAGGCUAAAACAAUGCAAAGCGCAUUGUGACCAGCGAUUUGUUGCAACAUCUGAUAGUCUGGUCGGUCACAGUGAUCACGGUGAUAUAUAUAUAUAUAUAUAUAUAUAUAUAUAUAUAUAUAUAUAUAUAUAUAUAUAUAUAUAUAUAUAUAUAUAUAUAUAUAUAUAUAUAUAUAUAUAUAUAUAUAUAUAUAUAUAUAUGUGUGUGUAUAUAUAUAUAUGUAUGUGUGUGUAUGUUUGUGUGUCUGUGUUUGUCCUCCCAACAUCGCUUGACAACCGAUGCUGGUGUGUUUACGUCCCCGUAACUUAACGGUUCAGCAAAAGAGACCGAUAAAAUAAGAACUAGGCUUCCAAAGAAUAAGUCCUGGGGUCGAUUUGUUCGACUAAAGGCGGUGCUCCUGCAUGGCCACAGACAAAUAACUGAAACAAGUAAAAGAGUAAAAGAGCAUAUCCAUUGCCUAUUUGAAAAAAAAAUAUAGAGUGUCAUUUGAGAGACGUCUAGGUUUGGCUGCUAUUUCUAGCAGCCCACUUUGAAUCCCUUCACUAUUUCGUUUGUGUGACUUCCUCACUAUACUGAAAGGAAUUCUGAAAGACUUUCGAGGAGCAAAAAUGUUUUUAUUAUAAUUAAGCCUCUUCAAAUUUGACGGUUGCCUGGAGAAAUUAUUUUCCCCAACAUAGCUAAAAUAUUGGUUUCAAAUUUUGGCACAAGCCCAGCAUGUUCGGGGGAUGGGGAUAAGUCGAUUAUAUCGACCCCAGUGCACAACUGGUGCUUAUUUUAUGGAACCCGAAAGGAUCAAAAGCAAAGUCGGCCUCGGUGGAAUUUGACUCAGAACGUAAAGACUGACGAAAUACCGCUCUGCCAACUCGCCAUCUUAAACAUAGACAAAAUAUUCUUUUUUACUCUAGGCACAAGGCCCGAUAUUUUGGGGGAGGGAGGCCAGUCGAUUAGAUUGACUCCAGUAUGCAACUGGUACUUAAUUUAUCGUUCUCGAAAGGAGGAAAGACAAAGACGACCUCGGCGGAAUUUGAACUGAGAACGUAAAGACAAAUGAAAUACAGCUAACCAUUUCGCCCUGCGUGCUAACUUUUCUACUUCUUUACUGCUCAUAGCGGGGAAAAGCAAAGACAGACAAAGGGAUUAAGCCGAUAACAUCGACUCCAGUGCGUAACUGGUACUUAUUUAAUCGACCCCGAAAGGAUGAAAGGCAAAGUCGACCUCGGCGGAAUUUGAACUCAGAACGUAACGGCAGACGAAAUACUGCUAAGCAUUUCGCCCGGCGUGCUAACGUUUCUGCCAGCACGCCGCCUUAACAUAGACAAAAUAUUUAUAUGUAAAUCAAUUGCGAUCGUUCUCUUUUAGAUCUAUAACAAAUAUGUCAAAAGCAAUAUAGUAGUAUUUUGCUUUCAUUAUAUUACUAAAAAAAGGCGGCGAGCUGGCAUAGUCGUUAGCAUGCCGGGAUAAUUGCUUAGCGGCAUUUUGUCCACCUUUACAUUCUGAGUUCAAAUUCCGCCGAGGUCGACAUUACCUUUCAUCUUUUCGGGAUCGAUAAAUUAAGUACCAAUCAAGCAGUGGGAUCGAUGUAAUCGACUAGCUCCCUUCCUCCAAAUUUCACACCUUUUGCCUAUAGUUGAAAAGAUUUUAAUAUAUCACUAAGGCGGCAAGAAGCGUUAGUGCCUCAGACAAAAUGCUUAGCGGUUUUCUUCCGACUCUUUGCGUUCUGGGUAAAAAUUCUGCUGAAAUCGACUUUGCCUUUCCUCCUUCCAGGGGUGGAUACCAAAUGAACCUACGUCACCGCAAGAAACUGUAAAAAGAGUGCAGCAAUAUCAAACGCCCUCUUUCACCUAAAACUAAUCACGAUAGAAUAGCCAUUGAAAAAAUGAUGAUACUGGCGGUGCCUCAGCAUGACCGCAGCUUUUGGCCGAACCGCAUGAAAGAUAAGGAAUAUCUAUUUAUUCUUCGACCAGAGUGUCGGUGUGAGAAAAAGAUCUCAUUCACCCUCAUUUUAUAUCAUGAGGGAAGUUUGUGUGGGUGAAUAAUGUCGUCUACAAAUACCGAAGAAUUGCCUCUGUGUGUGUGUGUACGAGAGGAUGCUGAAAAGUUCCUGGCUUUAAGGGUGUCGCGAAAGGCCUGGUUGGAGGUCCAACCUUCCAAGUUUUUUUUUACAGUUUAGAAAAACUGAAGGACUGUUGCAAUAAGUGUGUGAAUUUGAGAAGAGAAUAUGUUGAAUAAAAUCAUAAUUAACUGAAUCCUGUAUUUUCUUUUACCCUAAGCCGGGACGUGGUAAUAAGACGUGGGUAAUAAGGCGGCGAGCUGGCAGAAACAUUAGCACGCCGGGCGAAAUGCUUAGCGGUAUUUCGUCUGCCGCUACGUUCUGAGUUCAAAUUCCGCCGAGGUCGACUUUGCCUUUCAUCCUUUCGGGGUCGAUAAAUUAAAUACCAGUUGCGCACUGGGGUCGAUGUAAUCAACUUAAUCCGUCUGUCUGUCCUUGUUUGUCCUCUCUGUGCUUAGCCCCUUGUGGGUAGUAAAGAAAUAGGUAUUUCGUCUGCCGCUACGUUCUGAGUUCAAUUUCCGCCGAGGUCGACUUUGCCUUUCAUCCUUUCGGGGUCGAUAAAUUAAAUACCAGUUGCGCACUGGGGUCGAUGUAAUCAACUUAAUCCGUCUGUCUGUCCUUGUUUGUCCUCUCUAUGUUUAGCCCCUUGUGGGUAGUAAAGAAAUAGGUAAUAAGAUACCAAAUUACUGAAGAUAAUGGGGUGUCAUACAUUUAGUACACAGGUUUCGAAUUUGUGCCCGAAUUCCUGCUUUAAGUGCAGGAUUGUUUGCCUCCCUAAAUGAAGAUAGGUUUUGCGCAAGCUAUCCAUCGAGCUCGUGCAUGCAUUGUUGACUGCCUUGUUCAUGCUUUUGGUUCAGUUAUAUAUCACACCAUUAACUUCGCCAUAGUAUUCAUUUGCCAAAAUUCAUUCAUAAAAUACUAGUCAACUAAACGUUGCCGUGCAGAGGGAUCGAACUCAGAACCACGUGGUUACUAAACUAAAUAAGUACCAGUUGAGUACUGGGGUUGAUGUAAUCUAGUGGUCCCUUCCCACCAAUUUCAGACCUUGUGCCUGUUGUAGAAAUAACUAUUAAAUAUAUUCUCUACAAAAGGUCAGCGCCGCUUGCUAUGUUGAUAUUUGUAUUACAAAGAAGUAACAGACAAAUGUCCCUCAAAUCACUAAUCCCCGUUUUGCAGAAGGAGGGACGUAUUGGAUAAGGUAGUCCUAGGUAUACAAAAAGACAAAAUUGUGGCGGAGGGGGGAUGCUUUGAAGGUUCAUUCGAUCAGGACUGACCUUGGAACGGGGUGGCAAACAACUGAAUAAGAAUCUGCAUUACACACACACACACACACACGUAUGUAUGUAUGUAUGUAUGUAUGUAUGUAUGUAUGUAUGUAUGUAUGUAUGUAUGUAUGUAUGUAUGUAUGUAUGUAUGUAUGUGCGCGCGCGUGUAUAUGUAUAUAUAUAUAUAUAUAUAUAUAUAUAUAUAUAUAUAAUAUAUAUAUAUAAACGUAUAUAGAUAAAUAAAUAAAUAUAUAUAUCACGUUGAAAGCACCGGUUCUCGUCUGAUCACCGAAGUUAAGCAACGUCGAGCCUAGUCAGAACUUAGAUGGCUGACCGCUUGGGAAACCUAGGUGCAGUAAGCAUAGCACAUUGCAUAAAGGCGGUGCUCCAGCAUGGCCGCAGUCAAAUUACUGAAACAAGUAAAAGAAUAAUAAAAGAAUAAAAGAAUAUAUAUGUAUGUAUAUAUUGUAGUAUAUAUAAAUGGAUAUAUAUUUAUAUAUAUAUGUACAUAUAUAUAUAUAUAUAUAUAUAUAUAUAUAUAUAUAUAUAUAUAUAUGUAAAUGUAAAAAAAUACAAACUGGGACAAGAGCGUGAAACAUUUAGAAGACGAUACAAAAAACAAGGACGGGACAUUCGAAGUCUUCAAUCUUCAGUCAAGAACCGGAUCAUCUUCGCAAUUUCGACUGAUUAAUCUUGAGAUUGCUCCGAUCUGGCCAGCCCCAAAGGAAAAUCUAAGCCAAGCGCAUUAGAUUCCUUGGAAGAAAGCCUCGAAUGUAUACAAAACAAGGACGGAAAAACGGACGAUGUUACACGAAUAAAAAUACAAAAAUACGUAAAAACAAUAAUGAUAGCACGAAUAAGAAUACAAAAAUACGUAAAAACAAUAAUGAUAAUAAUAAUAACAACAAAAACAGGACGUCACAGACAAGCGUCUUAUAUGAAUAAUAUAAUACAUCUAAUAUUAUUAAUAAUAAUUGAUUAUUGUGCAAGCUUACAAAUGUAAAUAUGUAUGUAAAUUCAAGUGUAUAUAUAUGUAUUUAUGUAUAUUUAUAUAUGUAAUGCAUAUGUCUAUGUAUAAGUUUGUGAAUGUGUGCGUAUUUAUUUAGAACUUAACCUUAUGUACUUUCUAAAAUCUCUGACGAAGCCUAGAGAAACACCCAAGAACCUCAAUUUCAUCUACUUAUUACUUCAGUCUACUGGAGGAAUAAAGGUAGAAUUAGGUAUUUUUGCCUCUUGGCUGAAACAGCUGUAAGAUAUUUUUCCCAAUUUAUAUUCCUGUAUGUUAUAUUUUUAAUAAUGACUGGUAUCCUUAUAUAUUAAUAUAUUUUAUAUGUAAAGCAUAUGUUAUACAUGUAUGUAUGUAUAUUCUUGCAAUUGUCAUUUUAGUAAAUAAAUAAAUAAGUUAACAUAAUGUCUAAAAGUUGAUGAACCACAUAUUGAUCCCCGCCAUUUUCUUAUUGCUCUCUCUCUCUCUCUCUCUCUCUCUCUCUCUCUCUCUCUCUCUAUAUAUAUAUAUAUAUAUAUAUGUGUGUGUGUGUGUGUGUGUGUGUGUGUGUGUGUGUGUGUGUGUGUAUGUGUGUAUGUCUGCACGUGCAUAUAUGAAAUAAAUGAAUAAAUAAAGAAAAUAAUGUAAAAACAAUGCAAUAAGAGUAGACAUGUGUUCAGAUUAGCGGAGUUUACUUGCAAAGCUUCUUACGUCAUAGAGAGAAAUCUAUCUGGUGCGAAUAAUUUAGUCAACCCCAUUAUAGAACCCAGCCUAGUAAUUUUUAAUGAUUAGUAUACAUUAAGUAUUAUCAAUAAUCGGCUUUUUAAUCUUUAUUUUCAAAUAAUUUACCUACUUUUCAAGAGCGAAUCUUCACCGUAUUUUGUCACGCUAUACAAAUUAAAUAAUUGCCUUAAUAUAAGUAGAUUCAUUUACAAUACGUAUAAAGGAAUUCUAUGAUAAUAAGAGUAAUAAUAGAGGUUUAUAGUGUUUAUCUAGAAUAAUUGGCGUGCAAUAGCUUAGAGAUUCUCAAUCAAUACCGAAAAAACAGUUCCUGAAAUCAUUUCAGAUAUAGCUUUACGAGCAGAGGUACCUGGAGCUUUUAGUUAAAAGAGCUAAAAGAUUUCUUUUUGAAAAUGGCAGAUUCGGUUUCUCUGACAGUUCCUGAAGCCCCACGAAGAAAAUCUUCCUCGCCACCAAAACUUGCUGGUGGUGGAGAUACCAAACCAGUUUCCCCGUUUCAAAUUUUGUCAUUUAAAAUGUUUAUGGUUGUCAUUUAUCUCAGUAUCGGUUUUGGACUUGCAUUCUUUCUUGGCAUCUAUUACCUUUUUCUGUGGGAACCAGUACGAGGAAAUUACAGCCAACACCAUAUAUAUAUCGGACAUUCUUCAGCAGUAUUCCACCCUCAAUGAAAGAAACAUAAAAAUCAAAGAAAUUUAGACGCUAAGAAAGGUUCGUUGUUUUUUGAGUAUUCUUCAUGUUAACUUUUAAAUUUAACCUACAUGCUUAGAACCACUCACACACCCACGUUAUAAAUAAGUAAACUUGUAUAUGUGCUAUGUAUGUAUGUAUGUAUGUAUGUAUGUAUGUAAGUUUGCAUGUAUGUAUGUGUGUCGUUAUUCAGUUUUAUUUCAAGAUUUAUGCCAAUAGAGAAAGAGCCGGUUUCUAACCGAGAUCCAAGGCUCCUUCAUAGGAAUUUCAAUAUCAACCGGGUAUUUUUGUAGGUGAGUAUGUGUAGGGUUGCAUAUUUUGUUUUGUGUAUUCUCAUGCAGGUAGUUUCAUGCUUCUGGAUAGUUUUACUGAUUUUUACAGUUCCACUACGAACGAACCUACGUAUGUAUGUAUGUAUGUAUGUAUGUAUGUAUGUAUGUAUGUAUGUAUGUAUGUAUGUAUGUAUGUAUGUAUGUAUGUAUGUAUGUAUGUAUGUAUGUAUGUGAUAAAUUUUCACAAUACGAACAGUUUUUACCCCAAAGAUUCAUGACACUGUUUUUCAAAUUAUAUUUUUUUAAAUAGUUAAUAUCUUUUAAGAAAAUCUUUCCUUCAAUAUUGUGAAAAUUUUUUUGCAGAAACUUUUACAUAUAUGAUAAUUUUCAUCUACCAAUAAAUGUCAAUGUUGUCCCAUUCAUGUUUUACAACUUCCCAAAAUUGAUCAGAGUUUGUCAGUUUACUUCCCACGAGUUUGUCCCCUGUACAACUCCAACUAUUGUCUACAGGAUUCAAAUCCAGUCUCUGAUCUGACUAAAAUAUAAUUAACAGGCAGUUUUUCUAAAGGCAUUUUUGUUUUUGUUCCGUUUAUUGUUUAGAAAAAAAAAAAAAAAACACCUGCUUGUUGAAAUAAAACUUCAUUGGCACUCUUUCCUCCAGGAAAUAAUAUUGCAACUUAGCUUGAAAAAGUAGUCCUCUCUCUAACAAUUUUAUGAAUUCCAAGGCAGUAAUUGAUUUUUCACCAAGAACUGCAGAUUUUUCACCAAGAACUGCACCAUAUCAGUUUUAUUUCAAGAUUUAUGCCAAUAGAGAAAGAGCCGGUUUCUAACCGAGAUCCAAGGCUCCUUCAUAGGAAUUUCAAUAUCAACCGGGUAUUUUUGUAGGUGUGUAUGUGUAGGGUUGCAUAUUUUGUUUUAUGUAUUCUCAUGCAGGUAGUUGCAUGCUUCUGGAUAGUUUUACUGAUUUUUAUAGUUCCACUACGUACGAACCUACGUAUGUAUGUAUGUAUGUAUGUAUGUAUGUAUGUAUGUAUGUAUGUAUGUAUGUAUGUAUGUAUGUAUGUAUGUAUGUAGGUAUGUAUGUAUGUAUGUGAUAAAUUUUCACAAUACGAACAGUUUUUACCCCAAAGAUUCAUGACACUGUUUUUCAAAUUAUAUUUUUUUAAAUAGUUAAUAUGGCGGUGCCCCAGCAUGGCCACAGCUCGUGAGCUGAAACUAGAAUCAAUCAAUCAUAUCAAGAUUCCAAAAUUUCUAUGCUUCAUAGUCAUUGAAAUACAAUUAACAUAGAAUAUCAAACAAGGCAAUGUUCACUAAAAGACAGUAUUCAUAACAAUCUUGGUUUAUUGCUCCAGAAGACUCUGUAAAGCAUUGCUGAAUUUCAGUUACCAUUCCUGGUAAAAAAACAUAUGCCACUUUUCUUUAAAUUUUCUGGAUUAACAGAGAUGUUGUAGCAAAUAAUUUACAGAUAAAAUCUACAUCUUUAAGCCGUUUUACAAUUAUCUUUUUGGAGGCAGUUAUAUUUCCAGCAGUUUCCUCUGAAAAACUAAGGCUUUCUGUCUCUAUAGACUCAUUUAGUUCCAAUCCUGUCUAAAUAUUGUCAUCCCUACAACAGAGCUAAUUUCCUGGAAAUAUAGGUGCAGGCGUGCCUGUGUGCUUAGAAAUUUACUUCCCAAUUACAUGGUUCCGGAUUCAGUCGCACUGCGUAUAACCUUGGACAAGAGUCUUCUACUAUAGCCUCAGGUUGACCAAAGCCUUAUGGGUGGAUUUAGUAGACGGAAAGCAAAAGAAACCUAUGGUAUACACACACAUAUAUAUAUGAUGUGUGUUCGUUCGUGUGUGUGUGUGUGUCUUUGUGCAUA
rnacentral:lncRNA from 1 species